UGUAGGAGAGAUGGACUAGGGGAUGAUGGCUAAUUAAUUUUAUGGAGGGAGUUGCUGAGUGUUUUGAGAAUGUUGUUGACUUGAGGGACAGGAGCUGUUAAGGCUGAUUAAUGUUUAAGACUUAAUUGAAACUUCUGACGGAAGCGAGGCAAAAAACUCUAUAAAACCGAGGUAAAAUCCUAGUCAAGUGUCACCAACUUGCUAAUUACAAGUUGUGUGAUCCAUGCUCUGAAGAUCUCUGAUCAAGCCGAUUGCUGUUGGUGUCGUGUUCAGAAGUCUUUGCCUUUGAAGACAGUUCCUGUCCUUACCUUAUAUUCCACACUUCCAUAUAUAAUUGGGGAGAAAUGAUUUUUCACCAGAGCCUGUCGAAGAUGUCCCAUCUCAUUUCCUGUCUUUUGGAGAUGGCUGAACACGAUCCGGAGCUGUCGCCAAAGGCCAGCACUGAAACCAGACAAAUUUAUUACACUUUGUAUCACUGAAGAACUGUACAGUCACCACGAGCACUAGAGCACGCACUGUGGACUGGUGUUUGUGUAUUUGUUACGUGUGGGUGAAAUAAAGCAAUACACGCCGCUGUAUUGCUUCUCAUUGUUUAUUGUAUACUGCUGUUUGUCAUCAGGCAAUUGGAUUUAAAAAUAAACCACCAUUGCA